rnacentral:tRNA from 1 species
GGAGGUGUAUCGAAGUGGUCAUAACGGCCCUGACUCGAAAUCAGGUAGGGUGCAAGCCCUCGUGGGUUCGAAUCCCACCGCCUCCGCCA